rnacentral:misc_RNA from 1 species
GAUGAAGAACGUAGCGAAAUGCGAUAAGUAAUGUGAAUUGCAGAAUUCAGUGAAUCAUCGAAUCUUUGAACGCACAUUGCGCCCCCUGGUAUUCCGGGGGGCAUGCCUGUUCUAGCGUCAUUUCACCACUCAAGCCUCGCUUGGUAUUGGGCAACGCGGUCCGCCGCGUGCCUCAAAUCGACCGGCUGGGUCUUCUGUCCCCUAAGCGUUGUGGAAACUUUCGCUAAAGGGUGUUCGGGAGGCUACGCCGUAAAACAACCCCAUUUCUAAGGUUGACCUCGGAUCAGGUAGGGAUACCCGCUGAACUUAAGCAUAUCAAUAAGCGGAGGA